rnacentral:rRNA from 1 species
CAGCACAAGGAGCAAUCUGAGGUGGCGACCGGCCGCACGGGUGAGUAACACGUAUGCAACCUGCCUGUAAGCGGGGAAUAACCCGUUGAAAGACGGACUAAUACCGCAUAAUACUAAAUUACUGCAUGGUAAUUUAUUUAAACAUUUAUGGCUUACAGAUGGGCAUGCGCAUGAUUAGCUAGUUGGAGAGGUAACGGCUCCCCAAGGCAACGAUCAUUAGGGUUCUGAGAGGAAGGUCCCCCACACUGGUACUGAGACACGGACCAGACUCCUACGGGAGGCAGCAGUGAGGAAUAUUGGUCAAUGGACGAGAGUCUGAACCAGCCAAGUCGCGUGCAGGAAGAAUGUCCCUAUGGAUUGUAAACUGCUUUUGCAGGGGAAUAAAGUGCAUCACGUGUGAUGUUUUGUAUGUACUCUGCGAAUAAGGAUCGGCUAACUCCGUGCCAGCCGCCGC